AUUUUAGUCUGCUAAAUCCCAGUUGGCCAAAUCCUUUGCUAGAAUUCUAUUUUAACAGGCUCUGAAAUUUCCCAGGUACUUCUCUGAAGGCACCCUCCUCUGAGGGGGUGGGUGGUAAGUGGGUGUCAUCUGCAGACAGGAAGACCACAGCCCUGCCACAGACCAGAGGACACCCAGGGGCUCCAGGGACCAGAUGCGGGGUAGGGGCCUGUGCUGGAUCCUGACCCAGAAGAAGGACGUUCACAGAAAAACCGGGGAUCUUCCCAGCCCAGGGAUGGAAUCUACACCCCCGACAUUGCAGGAGGAUUCUUCACCACUGAGCCGCCUGGGACGCCCCCAAGGACUCUGCCUCUGGAGAAAGGGCAUCCAUUCGGGGUGCUUGUGUCUGCCCUCCCUUCGCAGCUGUGAGCGUCUUGCUUGGUUGGAGCAGCGUUUCCAGCCGGGGCGAGCACCCCUGGCCGUCUGCGUAGCGGCUCUGACCUCAGCCCGCCGGGCACAGCCACCCCCGCCUCGUCCGUGUAGAAGUCCUCCUGGUUCCUGCGUCUCAGCUCAGCGGUUGAAGGAAGCCCCAGCUCCACGAAGGCUUGGAGCUCUGCAAGCCGACCAGAAGUCGUGGCCUCCGCCGAGCUCCUAGUCCCCCGGAACUUUAUUGUGUAAUCCUUGGAAAUACCAAGCGUCUUGGCGCACACCGGGGGUUGUGGUGCCCCGUCGGGGUUCCCCAACACAGGGCUUGGUCACCACCGGUACAAGUUCCGAUUCAAAUUCGCAGUCGUCGAUUUGGGAAAUCAGCCCCAAGAGGGCUCCCCUCGUCCGUGAUUCUGUUGACCGCGAAGAGUUUGUGUGCCUGUGAAAAGCACCUCAGUGGCUGCAGAGGUCUGUCAAAAUCAUCCUCAUCUUCCUUUGUCUGAUCAUACAGAAUGCGAGUUCAUUUUCUAGGCCUUCCUUUCGGGUGAAGAAGGCCAGUAAGCAAGAGAAGAAAUAUUCUGAGCUUUUUUUUUUUUUCCUGGCUGUGUGCCUUGUGGAAUCUCGGUUCCCCGACCAGGGAUGGAACUCGGGCCAUGGCAGUGAGAGCCCAGAAUCCUAGCCACAAGGCCCCCAGGGACCCCUGGUAAGGCUCACUCUGAGUUAAGCUGGCCCGAGCUCCAGUUGCUC
ensembl:lncRNA